rnacentral:tRNA from 1 species
AUUCAUUUAUUAUAUAAAGUAUAGCAAGCUUCCAACUUGAAGGAUUUAAAAAAUUAAAAUGAAUA